rnacentral:rRNA from 1 species
GGCCCUGCAAAGCAGCAUCGCGGUGGCGGAGCGUCGUUUGCGACGCCCAACACACAAAACAAGCGGUGAGUGCUUUGGGGUGGGGUGACUGCGUACCUUUUGUAUAAUGGGUCAGCGACUUAUAUUCUGUAGCAAGGUUAACCGUAUAGGGGAGCCGAAGGGAAACCGAGUCUUAACUGGGCGUUAAGUUGCAGGGUAUAGACCCGAAACCCGGUGAUCUAGCCAUGGGCAGGUUGAAGGUUGGGUAACACUAACUGGAGGACCGAACCGACUAAUGUUGAAAAAUUAGCGGAUGACUUGUGGCUGGGGGUGAAAGGCCAAUCAAACCGGGAGAUAGCUGGUUCUCCCCGAAAGCUAUUUAGGUAGCGCCUCGUGAACUCAUCUUCGGGGGUAGAGCACUGUUUCGGCUAGGGGGUCAUCCCGACUUACCAACCCGAUGCAAACUGCGAAUACCGAAGAAUGUUAUCACGGGAGACACACGGCGGGUGCUAACGUCCGUCGUGAAGAGGGAAACAACCCAGACCGCCAGCUAAGGUCCCAAAGUCACAGUUAAGUGGGAAACGAUGUGGGAAGGCUCAGACAGCCAGGAUGUUGGCUUAGAAGCAGCCAUCAUUUAAAGAAAGCGUAAUAGCUCACUGGUCGAGUCGGCCUGCGCGGAAGAUGUAACGGGGCUAAACUGUGCACCGAAGCUGCGGCAGCGACGCUUAUGCGUUGUUGGGUAGGGGAGCGUUCUGUAAGCCUGCGAAGGUGUCCUGUGAGGGAUGCUGGAGGUAUCAGAAGUGCGAAUGCUGACAUAAGUAACGAUAA